UUGGGACAGACGCCUUGUUUCUUCAGGCUAAUUAUGUUAGCUUUAGCCUGGUUGGUAGCAGCUUUCUGCAGUGAAAAACGGCCAGGAGACGUGAUAACGCUGCAUUAUUCAGGUGAUUUAUUUCAGUCAAACCCUGC